CCCUUAGAUGUUCUGGGCCGCACGCGCGCUACACUGACGAAUGCAACGAGCUUAUAACCUUGGCCGAAAGGUCUGGGUAAUCUCCAAAUUUCGUCGUGAUGGGGAUAGAUUAUUGCAAUUAUUAAUCUUCAACGAGGAAUGCCUAGUAAGCGCAAGUCAUCAGCUUGCGUUGAUUACGUCCCUGCCCUUUGUACACACCGCCCGUCGCUCCUACCGAUUGGAUGAUCCGGUGAGCUAUUCGGACUUUCGCAUUGUCGAUUUUCGGCUUUACGAGGGAAAGUCUCGCGAACCUUAUCAUCUAGAGGAAGGAGAAGUCGUAACA
rnacentral:rRNA from 1 species